AAAUUUCCAUCUAUUCUCAAUGCAGAUUGAGCUUCAAUUGACAAUCGAUAUGCAACUGGUUCAGAUCUCAGUUCUGGAAACAGGAUCACCAUCGCAUGGUAAAGCUCUAUUGAUGUUUACAUGAAUUUGAGGCCUUAAAUUUUAUCCUAAUUUUGUGAUGUAGCACAUUCAUGUUUAUUCAAUAAUAUCAUGCAUUUUUUGCUUGCACUCUAGCAUGCCCAAAUAGAACUCUUUUACCUUUUUCUCCAGCAGAACUUGCCGUUUUGUCUUCCAGUCUUCUUCAGCUGAUUCCUCCAAAGAAAGAAUUGAAACAUUCAGAUAUAUCAUUCUUUCAUGCAUUUUCGAUGAUUGAUCUACAUAAAUAUUACUAACUACACUUACCUGGCGACUUUGCCGGCUUGGUUGCUGCAUUUUGAAUUCUCAAGGGUCCAUAGGUGCUUGAGUUUCUCCCUCUGUUGGAUAAGUUAGUAGAUUCAAUGCUUGAGUUCAAACUAUAGGCUAGAAGAGAAGGGUGAAACUUGUGAUAUAGAGACGAAAAUGAUGGGUGUGGGCUGAUGGAAGUAAAUGCAGCAACCAUUUUCCUAGCCCAAAACUGGAUAUUGGUGCUGUAAUUUGCAGAAGAUUUUUAUUUGCUUUCCUAAGGUUUAGAUGAUAUCUGUCUCUUUGGUUGAUAUUAAAGUCGCUUGAUUCAUUGAUUUGAUCUGGAUUUUCUAUGUUUAAAUGCUUGAAACAUUUGAAAUAGAGGAAAUUGGUGGGCCAAUUAAUGGGAAACGCUAGAUAUUAUAGCGUGCUCACAAUCUACAUUUGUGGUGGUAGUGCGAAGAUUUCCUUCUACUUGGGAUUUUCUAAAUCUCUUAUCAUUUGUUGUUUUCCUGCUUUAGGAUAAUAAGUCGCCAUUCUCUCUCUCUCUCUCUCUCUCCUAUACGUGUGAGACUAAUUAGGUAUGAUUGAGUUCGAGUUAGAUCUAUAGGAUAAAGUGUCACAGCUUUAUUUAUUUAUUUAUGUUAAACCCAUGUUGAGAAACCCCACCUUUGAAUAAUCAGAAAUUUAUUCAAUAUUUUGGCUUUACUUUUCAGUGCUAAUGAUUCUUAAUUUAGUUGAGUAUUUGUAGUCUACGAAACUUGAGAAGCACUAGUUGAUUUGCUGUGUGCACUUACACAGAUUCAAAGCAAUGCUGCUUGUGUCACAUUGCUUCAAAUUGGAGAAUACCAACCAUUAAAUUCUUUCCUCAUGAGUUAUGGAUAAUGUGGAUAAAUAGUUUAUAUGUCAUACAUGUCAAGUACUAUCAUAUAAUAAUGCAUAUGUUAUUCAUGUUUACACGACUGCGUCUUUCUAUAUGAAUCAAUAAAUUAUGAAUGCAUAUUUAAUGUACGUUUUACAAGUUUAUUAUAUGUAAUAGUAUAUAAUAAAAUUUUCUAGUGGUUAUAUAUGUCAAACUUUUAAACUUAAGUAUUUGAUUAUUAAAUGAUUUUAUAUGGAGUAAUAUUUUUCUUUUUUAUUUGAUUUUAGUUUAUAUUUUAUAUUUAGGGUAAAUAAGUAUUUUUGUAUUUAAUGCAGUGCGCUAAUUUCAUGACAAAUGCUGACUAUUUAUGGAGCCUUUGACUGAAAGACGUGUUUCGGGGUAUUUAAUUUGUGACAUAUGAUAUGAUAUGAUAUGAUAUGAUAUGAUAUGAACAAGCAGGUCACAUGUAACAAUCCGCGGGUUUGAACCAUUUGACUUCGUUGGCAUUGGAGUUGGGUAAGAUUUUUUAAUAAAUAAAAAUACUUCCCUAAUGACUACUCAUUAUUUUUAAGCUGAAUGAACUUUGUCAUGCAUAGUGAUACAUGCCCAUGAUUCUUGCAUAUCGCACAUGCUUAAGAGAGUUUUAUAUUCGAUUUUCUUUUUAAUGAAUAAACCACCGUUUGUACGUGUUUUUUUUUGACAAAUAUGAAUGUUAAUGUGUUUGCGAAGAAUAUAAAAGCAACAAUAUAGAUAUCUUUUUUAUGGUGUAUAGAUAUCUUCUUAUGGUGCGUUUUCUUUGGUUGUAAAUUUAUCAUGAGAAAUGAUGGAUAAAUAAAAUUUCACCCUUUAAAUCCUUCAUUUCUUUUUCCACAUUUCCUACUUGACCCUUACUCAUUCCUCAUUUACACUACAAAGGAGGGAUACUAUUAUCCCUCCAAAAAUGGUGUGAUAAUAUUAUCGCUCAUUUGUAGUGUGCAUGAGGAAUGAGUAAUGGUCAAGUAGAAAAUAUGGGAAAAGAAUUUAAAGGGUGAAAUUUACAACCAAAUAGAACGCACCCUUAGAGUCUUUUUAUUUCAACAAAUAAGAAUAGGUUGGGGUUUUUUAUGAGUAAUAUAUUUUUAGAAAUCUCCUUAUUGUACAAUAUUUCAUAAACUAACUAUAUAUUACUAUAAUUUAUUCUUGUAGUACAACUUAGUUGGAUGUGUAGACCAUAAUAAUGGUCUCUACAUACUCAUUAGCUCGCUGUUUACUCCAUUUACAAAGUUUUAGAGAUGGCGAGAUCAUGGAUGUCCUUGAAUAGAGUGUUCUUUAUUUAUUUAUUUUUCAGAAAAAUUGGUAUAUUUGUUAGGCUUUGAUUUUUUUUUUCCUACAAAAAUAAAAACUCUUAAAAAAUACUAAUACCAACUUUACCAUAAUCAGUAUAAAUCAUAGGGAAAGUUUUUAUAGUCCGAAACGUUAUAAAAUGUUGUCGGUCUUAUGGUAGGAAAUCAACUCAAGGAUGGAAUUAUUAGUUCUUAGAUCUCUAAUUUUUGUCAUGAUACAGAAAUCCAUGCCAUUAUUCAUGGGACAUCAUUUAUUGCCACUAUAAUCAAUUGACUAUACACAAAUAAUGACAUUUGCUCAUGCUAGAUGCCAAAAUUUACAUGCAAAUAGGAGCAGGAAUGAGGAAGGCAGAAGGCAAGCCAUGAUUUCUUAUUGGAGGCUAAUUUAUAGAAAACUAAUGAUUAUAAAUAAAAUUGAAAUACGUGUACUUCAUAACAACAAACAAGGUUAUAAUGUUUCUCCAAAAAGAACAAAGAAAAAAAAAACAAGAAGAAUAUUUUUUUUGACAAACAUAAAAAAUCUUCGUAGUUCAAAUGAAAAAAANAAGGUUGAAAUAAUGUUUGGAAUUAAGUAAACCUCGUAAUAUUACAAAAUCUGCAGGUUUCAAUUUCAAACACUUUGCUAGUUUGUUUUUGUUUUUUGUUUCCACAUCCCUAUUUUCCAUUCUUUAGAUGCCGGCCUAAGCACUUCGAAUCCAUUUGUUUUAUUAUAUUUUCACUAUGCUAUUUUUUAAAAUUCCACCAACAUUUCUUUCAACUUUAUAUGGUCAUUGCAUCUAAAAUCAGUACUUAUAUAUUUCUGUUUAUUUACUCGUAACUAUAAAUUCAAGGCGAGUCCAACCAUAAAAAAAAUAUACACAUAUUUCAUUUUUCAAACCUACGAUCCAAAAUUAAAUGUCACCACCAAUCCCCAAAUAUUUUUUGUGAUUAUCAAUGCCAUUUAUUUACAAGUUGGUAAAUUGCACGGGAACUGAAAAUGGAAACUGUAUGAAAAUAAAUCCAAACUAAAGUUUUUAAAAUGAAUCAUUAUGGAUUACUUAUGAUUCAGAAUCAGAUCGGAACCAAAAAAAUCUUAAAUGUUUUAUGAGAAAAUAAAGAAAGAAAAACUUGGAUCAUAGUUUAAUAAAUAGUUGAAAAGAAUUAACAAAAGAAGGACUAAUCNGAGUAAUGUUUAAGUAGAAAAUGUGGGAAAAGAAUUUAAAGGGUGAAAUUUUGUUUAUCCUUCAUUUUUCCGUGAUAAAUUUACAACUAAAGAUAACACACCCUUAGAGUCUUUUUUUAUUCAACAAAUAGAAUAGGUUGGGGUUUUUUAGGUAAUAUAUUUUAGAAAUCUCCUUAUUGUACAAUAUUUCAUAAACUAACUAUAUAUUACUAUAAUUUAUUCUUGUAGUACAACUUAGUUGGAUGUGUAGACCAUAAUAAUGGUCUCUACAUACUCAUUAGCUCGCUGUUUACUCCAUUUACAAAGUUUUAGAGAUGGCGAGAUCAUGGAUGUCCUUGAAUAGAGUGUUCUUCAUUUAUUUAUUUUUCAGAAAAAUUGGUAUAUUUGUUAGGCUUUGAUUUUUUUUUCCUACAAAAUAAAAACUCUUAAAAAAUACUAAUACCAACUUUACCAUAAUCAGUAUAAAUCAUAGGGAAAGUUUUUAUAGUCCGAAACGUUAUAAAAUGUUGUCGGUCUUAUGGUAGGAAAUACAACUCAAGGAUGGAAUUAUUAGUUCUUAGAUCUCUAAUUUUUGUCAUGAUACAGAAAUCCAUGCCAUUUUUCAUGGGACAUCAUUUAUUGCCACUAUAAUCAAUUGACUAUACACAAAUAAUGACAUUUGCUCAUGCUAGAUGCCAAAAUUUACAUGCAAAUAGGAGCAGGAAUGAGGAAGGCAAGCCAUGAUUUCUUAUUGGAGGCUAAUUUAUAGAAAACUAAUGAUUAUAAAUAAAAUUGAAAUAUGUGUACUUAAUAACAACAAACAAGGUUAUAAUGUUUCCCCAAAAAGAACAAAGAAAAAUACAAGAAUAUUUUUUUUGAUAAACAUAAAAAAUCUUCAUAGUUCAAAUGAAAAAAAAAAGGGUUGAAAUAAUGUUUGGAAUUAAGUAAACCUCGUAAUAUUACAAAAUCUGCAGGUUUCAAUUUCAAACACUUUGCUAGUUUGUUUUUGUUUUUUGUUUCCACAUCCCUAUUUUCCAUUCUUUAGAUGCCGGCCUAAGCACUUCGAAUCCAUUUGUUUUAUUAUAUUUUCACUAUGCUAUUUUUUAAAAUUCCACCAACAUUUCUUUCAACUUUAUAUGGUCAUUGCAUCUAAAAUCAGUACUUAUAUAUUUCUGUUUAUUUUCCCGUUUGCGCUGAUGCGGCGUCUCCAGUGGUUCCGGAGGUGACCAGAGCAGGGAAGAUUCAUGAUGCGUUCGGUGGGCAUCCUGUGCUGCACGCUCGGCUUGGUCCAGCCACUGCAGAUUUCUCUGGAUGGCCAGUGCAGCCCCCUCGGGUUUUGUUGUUGGCUCUUUUGUGCUUGAGCUGUGUUUCUUCCGGCUUAGGGGGACGAGUCGCCGAUGGGUUUUGGUUUGGCCGUAAUCUGUGGCGGCGAAUUUCCCGUCCCCCUGAACUGUGGUUUUGUUUUUUGGUUUUUCGUUAGGUCGUGUUGCGCCUUACAUUGGUCCCUUGCUGUACUGCUUUUCGUUACACCGGUUUUGUAACAACUUUUCUUUCUUUCUUUUCAAUAAAAUUUUCAUUUCAGCAGU
rnacentral:lncRNA from 1 species